rnacentral:rRNA from 1 species
UACAUAGGGGGCAAGCGUUAUCCGGAAUUAUUGGGCGUAAAGGGUGCGUAGGCGGUUUGUUAAGUCUAAGGUGUAAGUUCAAGGCUCAACCUUGUGAUGCUUUAGAAACUGGCGGACUAGAGAUAGAUAGAGGCAAGUGGAAUUCCAUGUGUAGCGGUAAAAUGCGUAAAUAUAUGGAGGAACACCAGUGGCGAAGGCGGCUUGCUGGGUCUAUACUGACGCUGAGGCACGAAAGCGUGGGGAGCAAACAGGAUUAGAUACCCUGGUAGUCCACGCCGUAAACGAUGAGUACUAAGUGUUGGGGGAACCCAGUGCUGUAGUUAACAUAUUAAGUACUCCGCCUGAGUAGUACGUACGCAAGUAUGAA